rnacentral:rRNA from 1 species
UAGUCGAUGGGAAACAGGUUAAUAUUCCUGUACUUGGUGUUACUGCGAAGGGGGGACGGAGAAGGCUAUGUUAGCCGGGCGACGGUUGUCCCGGUUUAAGCAUGUAGGCUGAUUGUCCAGGCAAAUCCGGAUAAUCAAGGCUGAGGUGUGAUGACGAGGCACUACGGUGCUGAAGUAACAAAUGCCCUGCUUCCAGGAAAAGCCUCUAAGCAUCAGGUAACAUUAAAUCGUACCCCAAACCGACACAGGUGGUCAGGUAGAGAAUACCAAGGCGCUUGAGAGAACUCGGGUGAAGGAACUAGGCAAAAUGGUGCCGUAACUUCGGGAGAAGGCACGCUGGUGUGUAGGUGAAGCCCCUGCGGGUGGAGCUGAGACCAGUCGAAGAUACCAGCUGGCUGCAACUGUUUAUUAAAAACACAGCACUGUGCAAACACGAAAGUGGACGUAUACGGUGUGACGCCUGCCCGGUGCCGG